CCGCUUGUAGCGCCGAGCUCCAUCCAGCAGGCGGGGGCCGACGACAACCGUGGAUGGAGGCGGGGGACCCAACCAGUCCGCCGUGAUCGGACCGGGGCCGUCCGCGGCUCCUUGGGGUGAAGCCACCGCGGUGGCCGGGCAGCCCUCUCUUGUUGCAUCCAGCCCGAACCCGACAGCUGACCUCGUAGGCGCAUACAGAGAGGACAU
rnacentral:sRNA from 1 species